UACGUAGGGGGCAAGCGUUGUCCGGAAUCAUUGGGCGUAAAGAGCGUGUAGGCGGUCCGGUCAGUCGGUUGUGAAAGUCAAGGGCUCAACCCUUGAAUGCCGGCCGAUACUGCCGGGCUAGAGUCCGGAAGAGGUGAGUGGAAUUCCUGGUGUAGCGGUGAAAUGCGCAGAUAUCAGGAGGAACACCGAUGGCGAAGGCAGGUCACUGGGCCGCAACUGACGCUGAGGAGCGAAAGCAUGGGGAGCGAACAGG
rnacentral:rRNA from 1 species